rnacentral:rRNA from 1 species
AGUGAACGCUGGCGGUAGGCCUAACACAUGCAAGUCGAACGGCAGCACAGUAAGAGCUUGCUCUUACGGGUGGCGAGUGGCGGACGGGUGAGGAAUACAUCGGAAUCUACUUUUUCGUGGGGGAUAACGUAGGGAAACUUACGCUAAUACCACAUACGACCUACGGGUGAAAGCAGGGGAUCUUCGGACCUUGCGCGAUUGAAUGAGCCGAUGUCGGAUUAGCUAGUUGGCGGGGUAAAGGCCCACCAAGGCGACGAUCCGUAGCUGGUCUGAGAGGAUGAUCAGCCACACUGGAACUGAGACACGGUCCAGACUCCUACGGGAGGCAGCAGUGGGGAAUAUUGGACAAUGGGCGCAAGCCUGAUCCAGCCAUACCGCGUGGGUGAAGAAGGCCUUCGGGUUAUAAAGCCCUUUUGUUGGGAAAGAAAAGCAGCAGGUUAAUACCCCGCUGUUCUGACGGUACCCAAAGAAUAAGCACCGGCUAACUUCGUG